rnacentral:rRNA from 1 species
GACGAACGCUGGCGGCGUGCUUAACACAUGCAAGUCGAACGGAAAGGCCCUGCUUUUGUGGGGUGCUCGAGUGGCGAACGGGUGAGUAACACGUGAGUAACCUGCCCUUGACUUUGUGAUAACUUCAGGAAACUGGGGCUAAUACCGGAUAGGAGCUCCUGCUGCAUGGUGGGGGUUGGAAAGUUUCGGCGGUUGGGGAUGGACUCGCGGCUUAUCAGCUUGUUGGUGGGGUAGUGGCUUACCAAGGCUUUGACGGGUAGCCGGCCUGAGAGGGUGACCGGCCACAUUGGGACUGAGAGACGGCCCAGAAGCCUACGGGAGGCAGCAGUGGGGAAUAUUGCACAAUGGGCGGAAGCCUGAUGCAGCAACGCCGCGUGCGGGAUGACGGCCUUCGGGUUGUAAACCGAUUUCGCCUGUGACGAAGCGUGAGUGACGGUAAUGGGUAAAGAAGCACCGGCUAACUACGUG